ACUGGGGUGAUUAGUGGCGAACGGGUGAGUAACACGUGAGUAACCUGCCCUUAACUCUGGGAUAAGCCUGGGAAACUGGGUCUAAUACCGGAUAUGACUCCUCAUCGCAUGGUGGGGGGUGGAAAGCUUUUUGUGGUUUUGGAUGGACUCGCGGCCUAUCAGCUUGUUGGUGAGGUAAUGGCUCACCAAGGCGACGACGGGUAGCCGGCCUGAGAGGGUGACCGGCCACACUGGGACUGAGACACGGCCCAGACUCCUACGGGAGGCAGCAGUGGGGAAUAUUGCACAAUGGGCGAAAGCCUGAUGCAGCGACGCCGCGUGAGGGAUGACGGCCUUCGGGUUGUAAACCUCUUUCAGUAGGGAAGAAGCGAAAGUGACGGUACCUGCAGAAGAAGCGCCGGCUAACUACGUGCCAGCAGCCGCGGUAAUACGUAGGGCGCAAGCGUUAUCCUGGAAUUAUUGGGCGUAAAGAGCUCGUAGGCGGUUUGUCGCGUCUGCCGUGAAAGUCCGGGGCUCAACUCCGGAUCUGCGGUGGGUACGGGCAGACUAGAGUGA
rnacentral:rRNA from 1 species